rnacentral:rRNA from 1 species
UACGAGUGCCUCGAGCGUUAUCCGGAAUCAUUGGGCGUAAAGGGUGCGUAGGCGGCGAUGUUAGUCUCCCGUUAAAUCUCUGGGCUCAACCCAGAGUCUGCGGGGGAAACGGCAUUGCUUGAGGAUGGAAGAGGUCUUUGGAACUCAUAGUGUAGCGGUGAAAUGCGUUGAUAUUACGGGGAACACCGAAAGCGAAGGCAAAAGACUGGUCCACUCCUGACGCUGAAGCACGAAAGCGUGGGUCGCGAAUGGG